GCGUUUCUUCUUCACUUUUAACACGAAUCUUCUUGACAUGUAACGCCGAUUUACAGCGAUGUUCUUCUUCCUCUUCUUUUUAGGGCAAAAUCGAAUGGCGCGGCAGAGUCCAAUUUCAAAGAAACGCAGUUUCGUCCGUUUCGAAGCAGAUUCGCUACGUUUUACGAUACAAAACGCUAAUUUACAAAGUCAAUCGACUUUCGUAGGCUUCGCGUGCUAUUUUUAAUUUCCGCGUGUAUUUGCUAUUUGUCGUCCGGAUUGCCGUUUGAAGCGGCGUUACAGCGUAAUAACAGAGCCGGUUUGUUGAACAAAGCACAGCGGCAAUAAAGUGGCGAAUGGAAUUUUUCGCUCGCCUCGUCUUGCCGGCUGCUUACUCAUUUUAAUUUUCCCUGGCUUAAUUUCGCCCAGCACUCUACCGGCACUUAAUUUAAUACAACUAUCUCACGCAGACUUUUUACCAUGCGCUUCCUUCAUUCUCUCAGAGACGGAACAAAGCUUGUUCUUCCGUAGAAAUUUUACGUCUCAAACAGGUCAACCGUUAAGUUUCGUGGUUAAAAUGUUAUUACGUUAGGUGUUCAAAUUUUAAAGAUAUUUUUGAGUUUUGAAGAUAUAAUCAGCAAGAUGUAAUUAUUACGAUGUAAUUAAGCAAAUAGUUUAACACUUUGAAUGCCACGCGGCAAUCACAUGUUUCGAUCGGGACGCCACGGGAGUAUUUUUAUUAUUCAAAGUAUAUAAUGGUAAAAUAAUAAUAAAUUGAUGAUGUAAGACAACAUUCUUUCCCAAUGGACCGUUUAUCUUAUUGGUGGUCACGUGACGCCUGUGUAACGUAGCGGUCACGUGGUGGUCACGUGGUAACAGUUGAUAGCGACAUAUUGUAACAAGGUUUCGUUUAUUUCAACAAACCAUUCGCUUCCGUUAUUUCGUCGUAAACAAAACGUGCAGAAUAUAUUGUUGAAUAUAUUGUAGAAGAUAUUAGUAAACAGUAUUUGCUCAUUCUACAUAUAAUAGUAAGCUGUGUGUUACAACCGUCAGCGAGCGAGCGAAAACGCGUCAGCGAAAGGCGUAAAUUCUCGCUACGAUUCUGAUAAUCGACGCCCCGAAUCAGUCGUUCCCCUGUUUCGAUUAGGAUAACAGAGGAGACGACCCCCACCACGCUCGGGUCUCGCAACUGUUCGCGCCUAUGGUCACGUAUGCCACCUUUUUUGUGUAAAUAAAAUAACGGACCGAAGGCGAAUCUAUGUUUCUAGAACUCGCUGCUUGACGACAACUAUGCGUUUAUCCCUACUUUGUGUAUUCUCGACGGUCGUGUAAGACGAUCUGUCUGCGACGCUGUAGUACCAAGGGAGACGGUUAGGAACACGGACUAUAGUGAGCCUCGGGGCGUAACAGUGUGUUUAUAAUAAUAUUCGUAAAUUACCCCUCAAAGAUAUGGAUGCAAACACAGUGCACCGUUAGAUACAAGAUUUGUUCUCAUUUUUUUUUUAUUAAUGUUCUAAUAAAAAUGUUUAAUUGUUCAAUGGGGCACUUUUCAUUUCAAAGUAUUUUCUAUUUAUCGGUUAUAUUCAAAAUGCCCUAACUGUCCAUUUUCAUACAAUUUUUACAAUUGCAAGAAGUUGAAGCGCUCCGGUCACCAAUGAUCAACGUGACAGUCAAAGUGUUAACGAGUUUCGAUAACGUUGUCUGUAACAGCUAUAAAUAAUAAUUGCCAGCAAUUCCAUGUAUAUUACUCGGCCAAAUUUCCUAUAAUAGGCUGAAUCACGAUUAUCACACCUGUUGUUAUUGUGGUAAAUUGAAAUUGGCUAGGGGUUGUGGUCGAGUGGUUGGCUUAUUUGUGUUAAUGGAGAAGGAUGGAUGGCGCGACAAUCGAAGAAAUUGUGCGGUGGUAGUGGAAAAUACAAGUGUCAUAAACGCAAACCUGUUUCAUGGAUAAUAAUUCGUAAGCUUGCGUGUGAUUUCUUUUAUGAACAAUUUUUACGAAAGUAUUUUAUAAUAAACGUUUGGUCACUAGAUCGGUGUACACGAGACGUCGUUUCUUUCGAGUUUGAAUUUGUCACACCAAUAUCGUGGAAUUUAUAUUUUCUUCUAUCGUUAAUUUUAAUAUCCUAUUGUAAUAAUAUUUUAUAAUUAUAAUAUUUAAUAAUAUUUUAAUAAUAGCCUACCGAUAAAACGUAAAAAUUCUUCAGAAUUUAAAGCGAUAUUCGAGAUUCCUUUGAAACGCCAUACUCCGAAAUCUAAAAUCUAAAAUACAUUUGAAAAUACGUUUCUUCGUGUUUUGCGCUCGGUAAGAGAGCAGAAUAAAGCUGGCUGAAAGGGGAACGUUGAAAAGUAUUUCCAUUUAUUCCCUUCCGUGGAAUCCCAUGGCUUAGGAUAUUUUCAACUACGAAAGAGACCUCUUUGUCGCGAGUAACGAUGCUACACGACGCGAUAAACGUUUCACCAACGACUUUUACCAGCUCCCACGCGAUCGAAUCACCGACAAUUCCCCGGCGGAUCGGACGCGCUUUCUCUUCGCUGUAUUUCCGGUUCCGCUGUUCUGCACGCGAGCAUGCGCGUCUUUCGAGUCCCCUGUAAUUUCGUUACCGAGUCUGCAAACAAUUUCAACCGCACACCGAAUUUCCAGAGAGCCACGAUUGCCAAUCGAAGUUGCUUGGAUGCUGUUUUUUGUGACGAAGUUGCCACAAUUUCCGGCGAAUAUUUCGAACGUGGCUUGAAAACUUUCUAACGCCGACGGUAUAAUUCGAGGAAUUGCAGAGCACGCGGAUACGUACGAAAUUCGACAAAUUGUACGAAACGCGGCGCAAGUGGAUUAAUACAAUUUUAGAUGACGUCAAAGGAACAGGGAAAUGAACAGAGUAAAUUUAUAAAAGGAGAGAAGAAGCAACAGUUCGAAUAACGCCGUUAUUAGCUACUAAGCCGUAAAUUAAAUUUAUCGUGUACAGUAGUUACUUCGUCCAAAAAUUUUAUUACUGGACAUUAUGAACAAAUUAAAUGGGUAAACGAAAAAUCAAUUAAACGGGUAAACGAAAAACCAAUUAAAACGACAGGCUAAUGGGCUGGUAUUGGAUCUAAAAAAAAAAAAAAAGGGAAAAAACGAAAU